GUGGGAAUCUACCCUUCUCUACGGGAUAGCUCCGGGAAACUGGAAUUAAUACCGUAUACGUCCUGAGGGAGAAAGAUUUAUCGGGGAAGGAUGAGCCCGCGUUGGAUUAGCUAGUUGGUGGGGUAAAGGCCUACCAAGGCGACGAUCCAUAGCUGGUCUAAGAGGAUGAUCAGCCACAUUGGGACUGAGACACGGCCCAAACUCCUACGGGAGGCAGCAGUGGGGAAUAUUGGACAAUGGGCGCAAGCCUGAUCCAGCCAUGCCGCGUGAGUGAUGAAGGCCCUAGGGUUGUAAAGCUCUUUCAGUGGGGACGAUAAUGACGGUACCCACAGAAGAAGCCCCGGCUAACUUCGUGCCAGCAGCCGCGGUAAUACGAAGGGGGCUAGCGUUGUUC
rnacentral:rRNA from 1 species